UACGUAGGGUGCGAGCGUUGUCCGGAAUUACUGGGCGUAAAGAGCGCGUAGGCGGUUUGUCGCGUCUGCUGUGAAAGCCCGGGGCUCAACCCCGGGUCUGCAGUGGGUACGGGCAGACUAGAGUGCAGUAGGGGAGACUGGAAUUCCUGGUGUAGCGGUGAAAUGCGCAGAUAUCAGGAGGAACACCGAUGGCGAAGGCAGGUCUCUGGGCUGUAACUGACGCUGAGGAGCGAAAGCAUGGGGAGCGAACAGG
rnacentral:rRNA from 1 species